rnacentral:sRNA from 1 species
AAAGAAUGAAGAUAACCUAAGUACGCGACGUCCUGUCGCAACGGUUGUAUGACCAACAUCCUGUUGG